rnacentral:rRNA from 1 species
GGAAUAUUGGACAAUGGGCGCAAGCCUGAUCCAGCAAUACCGCGUGUGUGAAGAAGGCCUUCGGGUUGUAAAGCACUUUCAAUCGGGCGGAAGUCUUAAUGGUUAAUCCCCCUUGAGAUUGACGUUACCUAUAGAAGAAGCACCGGCUAACUCCGUGCCCGCAGCCGCGGUAAUACGGAGGGUGCAAGCGUUAAUCGGAAUUACUGGGCGUAAAGCGCGCGUAGGCGGAUGAUUAAGUCAGAUGUGAAAGCCCUGGGCUCAACCGGGGAACUGCAUUUGAGACUGGUCGUCUAGAGUACAGAAGAGGGGGGUGGAAUUCCAGGUGUAGCGGUGAAAUGCGUAGAUAUCUGGAGGAACAUCAGUGGCGAAGGCGACCCCCUGGUCUGAUACUGACGCUGAGGUGCGAAAGCGUGGGUAGCG